rnacentral:rRNA from 1 species
CCUACGGGGUGCAGCCGUGGGGAAUAUUGGGCAAUGGACGCAAGUCUGACCCAGCAACGCCGCGUGAAGGAAGAAGGCUUUCGGGUUGUAAACUUCUUUUAAGGGGGAGGAGAAGAAGACGGUACCCCUUGAAUAAGCCACGGCUAACUACGUGCCAGCAGCCGCGGGAAUACGUAGGGGGCAAGCGUUGUCCGGAUUUACUGGGUGUAAAGGACGUGCAGCCGGAGAGACAAGUCAGAUGUGAAAUCCACGGGCUCAACCCGUGAACUGCAUUUGACACUGUUUCCAUUGAGUGUCGGAGAGGUAAUCGGAAUGCCUAGUGUAGCGGUGAAAUGCGUAGAGAUUAGGAAGAACACCAGUGGCGAAGGCGGAUUACUGGACGAUAACUGACGGUGAGGCGCGAAAGCGUGGGGAGCAAACAGGAUUAGAUACCCUAGUAGUC